rnacentral:rRNA from 1 species
CCUACGGGAGGCUGCAGUGAGGAAUAUUGGUCAAUGGACGAGAGUCUGAACCAGCCAAGUAGCGUGAAGGAUGACUGCCCUAUGGGUUGUAAACUUCUUUUAUAAAGGAAUAAAACGAGGCACGUGUGCCCUUUUGCAUGUACUUUAUGAAUAAGGAUCGGCUAACUCCGUGCCAGCAGCCGCGGUAAUACGGAGGAUCCGAGCGUUAUCCGGAUUUAUUGGGUUUAAAGGGAGCGUAGAUGGGUUGUUAAGUCAGUUGUGAAAGUUUGCGGCUCAACCGUAAAAUUGCAAUUGAUACUGGCAGUCUUGAGUACAGUUGAGGUAGGCGGAAUUCGUGGUGUAGCGGUGAAAUGCUUAGAUAUCACGAAGAACCCCGAUUGCGAAGGCAGCUUACUAAACUGUGACUGACAUUGAUGCUCGAAAGUGUGGGUAUCAAACAGGAUUAGAUACCCUAGUAGUC